UGAGUAAUACAUCGGAACGUGUCUUCUAGUGGGGGAUAACUACCCGAAAGGGCAGCUAAUACCGCAUGAGACCUGAGGGUGAAAGCGGGGGAUCGCAAGACCUCGCGCUGGAAGAGCGGCCGAUGUCCGAUUAGCUAGUUGGUGAGGUAAAGGCUCACCAAGGCGACGAUCGGUAGCUGGUCUGAGAGGACGACCAGCCACACUGGGACUGAGACACGGCCCAG
rnacentral:rRNA from 1 species